rnacentral:lncRNA from 13 species
AUGAAAUCUAUGCAGCCUGCUCAAUCACUUUUUAUAGCUACUGUUUACAGGCCUCCUGGGCCAUAUACAGCGUUCCUCAUUGAGUUCCCUGAAUUCCUAUCGGACCUUGUAGUCAUAGCAGAUAAUAUUCUAAUCUUUGGUGACUUUAAUAUUCACAUGGAAAAGUCCACAGACCCACUCCAAAAGUAUUUUGGAGCCAUCAUCGACUCAGUGGGUUUUGUCCAACAUGUCUCUGGACCUACUCACUGUCACAGUCAUACUCUGGACCUAGUUUUGUCCCAUGGAAUAAAUGUUGUGGAUCUUAAUGUUUUUCCUCAUAAUCCUGGACUAUCGGACCACCAUUUUAUUACAUUUGCAAUUGCAACAAAUAAUCUGCUCAGACCCCAACCAAGGAACAUCAAAAGUCGUGCUACAAAUUCACAGACAACACAAAGAUUCCUUGAUGUCCUUCCAGACUCCCUCGGUCUACCCAAGGACGCCAGAGGACAAAAAUCAGUUAACCACCUAACUGAGGAACUCAAUUUAACCUUGCACAAUACCCUAGAUGCAGUUGCACCCCUAAAACCUAAAAACAUUUCUCAUAAGAAACUAGCUCCCUGGUAUACAGAAAAUACCCGAGCUCUGAAGCAAGCUUCCAGAAAAUUGGAACGGAAAUGGCGCCACACCAAACUGGAUGUCUUCCGACUAGCUUGGAAAGAUAGUACCGUGCAGUAUCGAAGAGCCCUUACUGCUGCUAGAUCAUCCUAUUUUUCCAACUUAAUUGAGGAAAAUAAUAACAAUCCGAAAUUUCUCUUUGAUACUGUCGCAAAGCUAACUAAAAAGCAGCAUUCCCCAAGAGAGGAUGGCUUUCACUUCAGCAGUAAUAAAUUCAUGAACUUCUUUGAGGAAAAGAUCAUGAUUAUUAGAAUGCAAAUUACGGACUCCUCUUUAAAUCUGCGUAUUCCUUCAAAGCUCAAUUGUCCUGAGUCUGCACAACUCUGCCAGGACCUAGGAUCAAGAGAGACGCUCAAGUGUUUUAGUACUAUAUCUCUUGCCACAAUGAUGAAAAGAAUCAUGGCCUCUAAACCUUCAAGCUGCAUACUGGACCCUAUUCCAACUAAACUACUGAAAGAGCUGCUUCCUGUGCUUGGCCCUAUGGUGCUUGGCCCUCCUAUGUUGAACAUAAUAAACGGCUCUCUAUCCAUCGGAUGUGUACCAAACUCACUAAAGUGGCAGUAA